rnacentral:rRNA from 1 species
GAUGAACGCUGGCGGCGUGCCUAAUACAUGCAAGUCGAGCGAACGGACGAGAAGCUUGCUUCUCUGAUGUUAGCGGCGGACGGGUGAGUAACACGUGGAUAACCUACCUAUAAGACUGGGAUAACUUCGGGAAACCGUAGCUAAUACCGGAUAAUAUUUUGAACCGCAUGGUUCAAAAGUGAAAGACGGUCUUGCCGUCACUUAUAGAUGGAUCCGCGCUGCAUUAGCUAGUUGGUAAGGUAACGGCUUACCAAGGCAACGAUGCAUAGCCGACCUGAGAGGGUGAUCGGCCACACUGGAACUGAGACACGGUCCAGACUCCCACGGGAGGCAGCAGUAGGGAAUCUUCCGCAAUGGGCGAAAGCCUGACGGAGCAACGCCGCGUGAGUGAUGAAGGUCUUCGGAUCGUAAAACUCUGUUAUUAGGGAAGAACAUAUGUGUAAGUAACUGUGCACAUCUUGACGGUACCUAAUCAGAAAGCCACGGCUAACUACGUG